rnacentral:rRNA from 1 species
GAUGAACGCUGGCGGCGUGCCUAAUACAUGCAAGUCGAGCGAACGGACGAGAAGCUUGCUUUUCUGAUGUUAGCGGCGGACGGCUGAGUAACACGUGGAUAACCUACCUAUAAGACUGGGAUAACUUCGGGAAACCGGAGCUAAUACCGGAUAAUAUUUUGAACCGCAUGGUUCAAAAGUGAAAGACGGUCUUGCUGUCACUUAUAGAUGGAUCCGCGCUGCAUUAGCUAGUUGGUAAGGUAACGGCUUACCAAGGCAACGAUGCAUAGCCGACCUGAGAGGGUGAUCGGCCACACUGGAACUGAGACACGGUCCAGACUCCUACGGGAGGCAGCAGUAGGGAAUCUUCCGCAAUGGGCGAAAGCCUGACGGAGCAACGCCGCGUGAGUGAUGAAGGUCUUCGGAUCGUAAAACUCUGUUAUUAGGGAAGAACAUAUGUGUAAGUAACUGUGCACAUCUUGACGGUACCUAAUCAGAAAGCCACGGCUAACUACGUG